rnacentral:misc_RNA from 1 species
GACGAAGAACGUAGCGAAAUGCGAAAAGUAAUGUGAAUUGCAGAAUUCAGUGAACCAUCGAAUCUUUGAACGCACAUUGCGCCCGCUGGAACUCCGGCGGGCACGCCUGUCCGAGCGUCAUUUCAACCCUCAGGCCCCCCUUCGCGGGCGGGCCUGGUGUUGGGGCCCGGCCGCUACCCUGCGGCCGUCCCCUAAAUCCAGUGGCGGCCUCGCCGUGAUCCCUUGCGUAGUAAUGCACCUCGCACCGGAGAGCGCCGUGGCCACGCCGUAAAACCCCCAAUUUUCAAUGGUUGACCUCGGAUCAGGUGGGAAUACCCGCUGAACUUAAGCAUAUCAAUAAGCGGAGGA